UGUACGCCGGCUCAAUCCUACCGCGGUGCUCUUUACCGAGUGUCGAGGUAGGCCGACACUGUUUACUUUGAACAAAUUAGAGUGCUUAAAGCAGGCUCUUAAAUCAGCCUGAAUAGUGGUGCAUGGAAUAAUGGAACAGGACCUUGGUUCUAUUUUGUUGGUUUUCGGAAUCCAAGGUAAUGAUCAAUAAGGACAGGCGGGGGCAUUCGUAUUGCGACGUUAGAGGUGAAAUUCUUGGAUCGUCGCAAGACGCACUAGAGCGAAAGCAUUUGCCAAGUAU
rnacentral:rRNA from 1 species